GGGUUAGUAGGUUGGUCAUGCCUCUGGUAUGUACUGGUCUCACUGAUUCCUCCUUCCUGAUGAGCCGUAAUGCCAUUAAUUUGGUGUUGCGGGGAAUUUGGACUGUUACUUUGAAAAAAUUAGAGUGCUCAAAGCAAGCCUACGCUCUGUAUACAUUAGCAUGGAAUAAUGAAAUAGGACGUUCGAUCCUAUUUUGUUGGUUUCUAGGAUUAACGUA
rnacentral:rRNA from 1 species